UACAGAGGUCUCAAGCGUUGUUCGGAUUCAUUGGGCGUAAAGGGUGCGUAGGCGGCGCGGUAAGUCGGGUGUGAAAUCUUGGAGCUUAACUCCGAAACUGCAUUCGAUACUGCCGUGCUUGAGGACUGGAGAGGAGACUGGAAUUUACGGUGUAGCGGUGAAAUGCGUAGAUAUCGUAAGGAAGACCAGUGGCGAAGGCGGGUCUCCGGGACAGUUCCUGACGCUGAGGCACGAAGGCCAGGGGAGACGAAACCGGGGAUUAGAAUGACCCUGGUAGUCCCAGGAA
rnacentral:rRNA from 1 species